AACAGGAAAUUGGUUCAUUUUCCUUGGAGUACAGAAAUGGAAGAGCCUUGGCCUUAUCCCUGUCCAGAGGCAGCGCACAGAGGAAGAGGCCAGUGGGGUCAGACAGACUGUGCCAGCCAUGGCUGCUCUGUGGGACAGGAAGGAAGGUUAAAAGUCUGAUCAGACGUUGGCUCUACAUGCAAAAUCAUCGAGUGACUGCAGCCCCCCUCCCCAGUGGUGAGGCCUUGUUCCAGCUGCUGCCUAGUGCAGCCCUGGGUUCUGAGAGGGGUUGUUGCUCUCUCCAGACCUCAGUUGGUGGGGGCAGGAUUAUUAAGCCCUUCUGCUUUGCUCUGAACUGCUAUCAAUAGAACAGUAAAUCUAAAUAAUGAGGUGCAUACUGCUUCCUUCAAUAUGUGCUGCAGAGGACAAGCAGGGAACAAAACCAAAAGGAAAAGUAAGCACAGCUGGAGGCUGUUGUGCCAUGGCACUGACUCCUGAUGUGUGUGCCGGUAUUUCCCUUGUACUGGUGUUGUAUAUCCUGCAGUUGUGCCUGCCUUGUGCUGUGAGGCUGUUCAUUCACACAGGCUGUUCUUUGCAUCAGUGACCCCACCACAGGGCUCAGCACUCACUGACAAGCUACAGAAAAGAGAGGUUGUAUCUUGGAGUAGCAGUUCCUCAAACUUUUCCCUGAAUUUCCUCCUCUCCUGCCUUCUGCUCCCCUAAAGGAAGGUGACAAGAGGCUUGCACCAGGACUGCUUUUCCCUGUGGUGGCCUCAACGGGAAGCCCAGCCCAUUAGGACCCUUGGCCAAAAAGAGCCUGAUGGAAGAGCCUGAUGGAAGUAUUCCCAGAAGGGCACCCACUUCUCGUGGCUGCCCCCAAAUAAACCCUACCUGCUCUGUUUUGAGAUUGCCCAUGUUAGACAGGGCUUGGUCCAAGAGCUACAAGAUCUGCCUGAUCACUGGCACUGGUAACAAACCUGAGAGCUGCCAGCUUUCCACUGCCAGCAAAGGCUGAGGAGACAGGCAUUACACCAAGGCUGAUGCUAUUUCUUGUGUUUUGGCCUACACCUCAGAAAAACUAUUGCUUUGCUCAUCUGCUGCAAAGCAAUAACCCCCUAAAGUUGGGUUUCUGGAAGAAGAAACCUCAGAAAGAGGGCGAAUGCCUACAGAAACAUGAUGAGAGAUGAAAUUCCUGCUGUCUGUAGGAAUUAUUGGAGUUGUGUAUGAGAAGUCUGAUGCUUUAUCUGAACUUCUCUUUAACUAGCAUGUGGUGAAUACGUUGGACACAUUCAAAUACCCAGGUCUGAAAGCAUUUUUAAGACCAGGUGUAAAUAUUCAUAACAAAGGGAUAGGUCAAGCCACUUGCCAGCUUUGUUACUUCAGUGUGUUAGAAUUCAAGUGUCCUUCUUUCCCUAAGUAUUGAGCUAUAAAUUCAUGGCUACUAUCAGAAGUGAUCCAAGUCCUUCAUAUUCCAGGCAGGAAUAGAUGAACAAAAGUGCUUUCAUCUGUGAGCAGUUGAAGGCUAAGAGCAACACACACACUCUUCCUCUCCUGGUCAGGAUCCUCAGCUGAGAAUUCAAAGGCCACUUUUCAAGGCUUUCCUCUCACGUGGGUGUAUCUAAAGCAUGAGUUUGUGAGGUUUUGGAGUGGUUAAUCUCCCUCUAUUGAACCUGAUAAAAUUUCUCUGAUAGAAAGCUGAUUUUUGAUUUCACUCAACUCCUGUCUGCAUUAUCAAAAAUAUUCCUGACGGUUCCUCCACAGUCCUGAAGGCUUUCAGUGAGAUUCAGUGACUCUCACCAGUUAUUGGCAAGUUCCCAGGGUCCCACCCAAAGCUGACAUGAUGACCACACUUGAUCUCAGCAAAGUCAAUUCUGAAGGCUGACCUGAUAUUUUCCAAAAAAGGCUUUAACUACUCGGUAUUUCUCGGGAGUAAUUCCUAUGUAUAAUCUGUGAUACCUGGGCUGAGUACAUCUACUCUGAUAAAUGCUUCAUAAAAAAGACAGAUUUCAGAAUAAUUCUAUAUUAUAUAUUUGGAUAACUACUUCACAAGCUGUUUGAGAAGUUUUAAUGACAAGCCAAUGAUUAAAAACUAUGAAAAAAAAAAGAAAGAACACAUGUCUAAGUGUUUUGGGGCUCUGGUUUGGAAGUAGAGCUGACUGCCAAAGCUACUGGAUAACAAAAAUUCUCUUUCAAUUUCUUUGCAAUUUUGAAGCUAAUACAACUUCAGCGAAAGUUCCUAAUGUUAUUUUUCCUCUCUUAACCUAAUUAACAAACCGAAAAUUUAUGUAGUCCUAAAUGGAAUUACUUUCUCCUGAGCACUGCAGAGGGAGUUAUUGCUCAUGUACCUAUUAAAGCCUGGGUAUUGCUGCCAAUGCUUCCCAGCAGCCGCAGUGCCUGAAUUCCCUCCACAGGAAUAGUGCCCUGUCUGAGGCCCCACUCCCUUAGGAUGCAAACCCAGGACAGUAUCACCCUGUUCCAUUAUUAGUAUUUUAAAUGUUGAACUGGAGUUGUUAAUUUUAGCAUAUUUAUCUGCUGAGCAUUUAGAUAAACCUUGAUAUGGCUUAAAUAUGUUGUAUUUUAAAAGAAGAAUUAAAAAAAACACACAAUCCCAAACCCCUUGGUUUUCAUUUCAUAGAAAGCUUUAAGAACUCUUUUGAUUAAAUUAUUAAAAAAAAAAAACCAAACCAAAAAAACGAAAGGAAAAUUGCUUAAAGUCUCUGAGAGGAAUAAUUUUUCAAUUACGAUUUUUUCAACAGAAUUGCAUUAAAACCUGAUUAGUCAUUAACAAGAACCUGCCAUCACUUUUAGAGGGAUAUUCUAUGGUAUUACUAGUACUGUGCUAAUAGCUUCACAAGCAGUUAGUUUCUCAAAAACAGAUUUAACACAUAUACAAACAGAAAAUGUGUGUAUUAUUUUGUGGCUAAAAUCUGUUUUAUUGUGAUACCACUUCUGAAAUACUGAAGAUAUAAAGUGGUUUAUGGUCCGAAAGAUAAACCAGCACAAGCUGCUAUGUUGGAAUAUAAGAAAGGAUUUGAGAAAGUGCUAAAGGCAUUAUUACAGCUACAGAAUGGACUCCUAAAUCUUUAAUGCAACUUGAUUGAUUCCCCCUGGAACCACGCUGUAUUGUAUUGAUAAAUAAACACCCAAAGUUGCUGUGCACAGUGUUUCCUGGCUAUAACAGACUGUUUUUGUGCUUUAACAGGGUUUCUGUUAAAUUGCAAACUGCAAAUAUUCCCAUUAAAAAUUCUUGUUCCCAGCACUCUGCACAUCAUCUCUCCUGAUGAUCCCAAAGCCCCCUGGGUGCAGCACUGCCCCAGGCAGGCUCUCCAUCCUCCGGGAAGCACCGCAGCUCGAGGCCAGGCUGGGAGGGGCAGCCCAGCAACCUCGUCCUCUCUGAGGGAAGAGACUGGUUUCCUGACCUCGAAUGUGCCCAUGGCAAUGGGUUUAAGGUGAUAAUUCCUCCCUGGCCUUGUUUUUUUUGGACAGGAAGAAGCAGUACAGAAUAACCCUCCACUUUUAUCUGCUCAACCACUACAGACAAAGCCUCCAGCCACUGGCCUGGCUUUGCACGAAUUAAAGGCAUUCAGCUCCCUGGCUUAUUGCUCAGGAUUGUCGGCCAAACCUGGCAGAUAAAUUUGGAUUGUCCAUUUGCGGUAGAAUAGUUUAACCUUGUGCUAGACCAGAGUUUUCCAGCUGAUAUUUUCAAUGGAGUGCUCCCCAAAAGAUCAGUUGUGGCAGAGAUGUCCUGCUCUGCAUUGGCUAUGGCUCAGUGGUUUACAAAGCACAAAAUUAUACAUCCUGCAGACUGGAGCCCCCAAAGUGCCCUUGUUGUCCCAACUUUGCACUGAUGUCACAUUCACCUUCCUCCCUGCCCAAGAAGACUGGAAAGAUCUGAAAGAGAAAACACAGCUUGAACAAAGUAUUCUGAUGGCUUGUAAGAAGCUCAUACAAUGUGCUCCCAAGGAAAAUAUAAUCUGUGAUUGUUAAACUCUAAGCACUGAUGAUGAUGACAACUUAAAAAAAAAAAGAAAAGAAUGUAGAUGACUGUACUCUGGAGAGCAGUGUGAAAUGAAACCACACAAAGGUAAUUUCAGAAAUAAGGAAAUUUCUUGAAAGAAAUUAUUGGAGAAUCUUUAGAGUCCAAGACACAUAAAAAGCAUCUUGACUAUAAAUUUUGAAAAAAAAUCUUUUGGUAGGAGAACAAAAUUUUUUUAAGUGCUGCACAAGAAAGAAUGGAAAUCUGUGCAGUAUAAUUAUGCAUUUUAUAGUUCUGAAUUAAUGACAGAAAGGUAAAAAGGGACAAUUAGUGUAGUUAUCUUUUAAGGCACUGAUGACAUGUUCUUUAAAUGUUCUUCCAUGAGUCAGGAUACAAUAUUGAAAUCAAGUAAGGCAAAACCUUUUGUGGCUCACCAUUGUGCAGAAAGUGUUUCAGUCUAGGGAAUAGAACAACCGAGCCCAUCAUUAUUUUCCAGAAGGAAAAACCCAUGGCUGUGUAUGAUGUAUCACUUAGUAUGGUGGUACCUCAGAGAACAGGAGGUGAACAGGGGGAAAGGUCAGCAAUUUUGAGAAAAACAUCUGUACGAGCUCUGAAUGAACACAGCCUUCCUUCCAUAGAGUGGCAAUGAUCUCAGCACGGUGGCAGCAAAUAAUUUGUCCCUGAAUGGUUUAAGUUUCUUAGUUUUUAGCAGAAAUACCAUUUUAAAAUAUCCAUUCUCCAUCCUGUAAUGUCUCUAGGCUGUUCUGUUGGCCAGAGUACGAGGACAGCUCGGAGAGAUGAAAGAACCAUCAAUGGCUUAGUGCACGAGGAUCAGCUGAGAUUGAGGCCCUGCUGUGUGAUGAUCCAGGUGUGUGUGUAGUAACUACUGUUCUUCUCUGAGCCUCUCUCUAUUUACAUGGAAAGGAUCAUCAUCUGUGUUUUGCAGAGGAAUCAAAAGUUUUGCUCUAAGUCUCAGAUCAACUUGUUGCAUAACCAGAAACUCAAUAUGAAGGCCUGAAAGUUGAACUUCAACUGCCUAAAACCCAGAGACAUCCAAAACAGGCCUGUGGAUGUAACACAGGACCUGUGACAGAGCUGUGCUGCUCUAAAGUGGCAGCUGGAGGAAUGUCCAGUGACAUUUGUAAGCUGAGUCCCAGCCUUGCAUUGGGGCCUUUUAUUUUUCCCUCCAGAGAUGGCCAGCAAUGGGAAGAUACUUUCAGAAAUGACUUCAUGCAUUGACAUGCAUCUCUUCCUGUAGAACUAAUACAAUGGUUCUGCACCUCCACUGACCACAGCAGGAAUCUGCAGGAAUUUAGACAGUUUCUAUUUCAAUACUUCGAGCCACUUCUGAGCACACAGGAGAGAAGACAGAAGAAACGAGCAGCCAUUUAAUGCAUGUUAAUACUUGCUAACUCCAUCCAUGUAGCUACUCUUAAGGCUAUAGUAUAAAGUGGACUUCAACAAUAGCGCUGAAUUUUUCCUUGCCACUGCAUGCCAUGAAAAGUAAAGUUUGGAAGAGUUUUUAAUUAGAAGCCAUGCAAAAAUGGCGUUGCUGCUGUCUCAUGACAUACCUAGAAGGAUACUUUCAUAAGGAAAUGAGAUAGGAAUAAAUCUUUUUGCCCCACUGCCAAAAGGAAAACCCAUACUGUUUCCUGUAUGAGUGUGUCGUGGUUUAAGCUCAGCUGGAACUUAAGCCCCAUGCAGUUGCUCUCUUCCCCCCACCUCAUCCUGUGAGAGAGAUACAAAAGGCAGAGAUUAAGGGUUGAGAUAACAAUUUACUGGAAACAGCAACGAGAUAAGAAAACAGCAACAUAAUUUAAAGAGUAUGGUGUUGCUGAAGCUGAGGUCACUUUUAUUGAUGUCUGUUGAGAAUCGCUGUUAUGUAACUCAUACCCCAGCACAGAGAAAUGUCAGAGAGCAGCAGCAAAAAUACAGCUUGGAAAGAUUUGUCAUCACAGAUGGUCUAAAUUACACCACACAGCACAGACUGUUUUCUCCUGCAGCAUUUUGCAGGUUGCAUAUGCAAGAAAUCCUGUGUUCCCUGCUGUAGAACUAGGAAGUGGAUCCUGAAAUAAUUUCUUAGUGUAAAGUCCACAAAUAUAAAACUAGUUGCAUUGGGGUUUGGGAGCGGGGGGCUAUAUUGAUGGCUUCUGUGAGAAGCUGCCAGAAGCUUCCACCAUGUCCAGCAGAGUCAAUUCCAGCUGGUUCCAGGAUGGACCCACUGCUAGCCAAGGCCGAGCCCAGCAGGAAUGAGAGUAACACCUCUGGAAUAACAUAUUUAAGAAGAAAAAAAAAAAGUUGUUGUGCAGAUGAAAAUUCCAACCGGAGAAGAGUGGAGUGAGAACAUGUGAACAGCUCUGCAGACACUAAGGUCAGUGGAGAAGGAGGGGCAGGAGGUGCCCCAAGUGGUGGAGCUGAGAUUCCCCUGCAGCCCCUGGUGCAGCCCCUGGUGAGGCAGCUGUGCCCCUGAGCCCAUGGAGGGCCUCAGGGGUGCAGAGACCCCCCCUGCAGCCCGGGGAGGAGCCCUCACUGGAGCAGAUGGACACCCAGAGGAGGCAGUGACCCCAUGGGAGGCCCCAGUUGCUGUGGGAUGGACUCAUGCUGGAGAAGUUCAUGAAGGACUGUUUCCCAUGGGAGGGACAGCAUGGGAAGCAGGGAAAGGUCUCCCCUCUCUGAGCAGCUGGAACAACCUGUGAUGAACUGACUGUAAACCCCAUUCCUAUCUCCCUGCACCACUGGGCAGGGAAGAGGUAGAACUUGGGAAGGAAGGAGUGAGGGGGAAGAUAUUUUUAAGUUUUACUUCUCAUUCUCCUGAUCUGAUUCUUUUAGUAAUAAAUUUAAUUAAUAUC